AUCCAGCUGAUGAGUCCCAAAUAGGACGAUACGCGCGUCCAACUGGAU
rnacentral:hammerhead_ribozyme from 1 species